rnacentral:rRNA from 1 species
AUAAUGAGCAUAACCAGGUACUUUUAACCUGAAUACAUAGGGUUUUAAGAGCAAACCCGGGGAACUGAAACAUCUAAGUACCCGGAGGAAAGGACAUCAAUUAGAGACUCCGUCAGUAGCGGCGAGCGAACGCGGACCAGCCGAGCCAUGAUUGUGAUUAGAACACGUUGGAAUACGUGGCCAAAGUGGGUGACAGCCCCGUAUAAGAAGCAUGAGUGGACGUAUUAAGUAGGGCGGGACACGUGAAAUCCUGUCUGAAGAUCGGAGGACCACCUCCGAAGGCUAAGUACUCCUUACUGACCGAUAGCGAACCAGUACCGUGAGGGAAAGGUGAAAAGCACCCCGACGAGGGGAGUGAAACAGUACCUGAAACCGAACGCCUACAAUCAGUCGGAGCACCCAUGCGGUGUGACGGCGUACCUUUUGUAUAAUGGGUCAUCGACUUGGUCUAUCUAGCAAGCUUAAGCCGUUAGGUGUAGGCGCAGCGAAAGCGAGUCUUAAUAGGGCGCAUGAGUUAGAUGGAUCAGACCCGAAACCGAGUGAUCUAGGCAUGACCAGGAUGAAGGUAAGGUAACACUUACUGGAGGUCCGAACCCACACCUGUUGAAAAAGGUCGGGAUGAGUUGUGCCUAGGGGUGAAAGGCCAAUCAAACUCGGAGAUAGCUGGUUCUCCGCGAAAUCUAUUUAGGUAGAGCGUCAUCCGAAUACCCCGGGGGGUAGAGCACUGGAUGGGUAAUGGGGCCCCACAGGCUUACUGAUCCUAACCAAACUCCGAAUACCCGGGAGUACUAGAUGGCAGACACACGGCGGAUGCUAACGUCCGUCGUGGAGAGGGAA